UACGGAAGGGGCAAGCGUUGUUCGGAAUUAUUGGGCGUAAAGGGCGCGUAGGCGGCUUUGCAAGUGACGGGUGAAAGCCCUCGGCUUAACCGAGGAACUGCCUGUCAGACUGGAAGGCUUGAGACCGGGAGAGGUGAGUGGAAUUCCCAGUGUAGCGGUGAAAUGCGCAGAUAUCAGGAAGAACACCCGUGGCGAAGGCGGCUCUCUGGGACGGUACUGACGCUGAGACGCGAAAGCGUGGGGAGCGAACAGG
rnacentral:rRNA from 1 species